rnacentral:rRNA from 1 species
UAGAGUUUGAUCCUGGCUCAGAGCGAACGUUAGCGGCGGGCCUAACACAUGCAAGUCGAACGAGAAUGUAGGCUUCGGCCUACUAGUAAAGUGGCGGACGGGUGCGUAACACGUUGGUAAUCUACCUUCCGGCGGGGGACAACAGUCCGAAAGGAUUGCUAAUACCGCAUACGUCGGCGAGAUCUCCGGAUCUUGUCGGGAAAGAUGGCCUCUCCUUGGAAGCUGUCACCGGAAGAUGAACCUGCGGCCCAUCAGCUUGUUGGUGAGGUAACGGCUCACCAAAGCGAAGACGGGUAGCUGGUCUGAGAGGAUGAUCAGCCACACUGGGACUGCGACACGGCCCAGACUCCUACGGGAGGCAGCAGUGGGGAAUAUUGGGCAAUGGGCGAAAGCCUGACCCAGCCACGCCGCGUGAGUGAUGAAGGCCUUCGGGUCGUAAAGCUCUGUGGGGAGGGACGAAUAAGCUUGUGGCUAACAUCCACGAGCCCUGACGGUACCUCCUUAGCAAGCACCGGCUAACCAUGUGCCAGCAGCCCCGGUCAA